GUAAGGACACAGAUACACGAGAUACUCAAUAAAGCUUUCUAAUCUGAUAACUAGCAAUGUGAAGCAACAAACCAAAGCACGUGGAUAGAUGAAGAAGGGAAAAAAAGCUGGACCAAAAAAUAUAUACUGCUUUACCCUAGUAAUAAAUGCUACAAUAGAGUUCAAGUAAAAGAAAUCAGGACAAUGAACUAAGGGAUAAUAAGCAGUCCUGGAGAAUUGUCAAAACAAGAAAACCACACUUUAUUUCUUUAUAACUUUCUAAAAUCUUGUUAGUCAUUUUCCCCAUUCCCUUGUCAAGGUUGUUUAUGUUUGCCACAUUGUUUUUAUUAUUUAAAAAUAAGAAGAAUGAAAUAGGCCUUCUAUGAAACAAAGCAUUCAACCCUGCUUUGCUUCAGAGAUAGAUUUUUUUUUCUUCAUAACCACAAAAGCUGCAUUUUUCAACUACAGGUAACAAGAAAUGGUUAAACAGUUGUGACUAGUGUCUUUGUCAGCUAGGUUCCCAGUAGGGAUAGGGGCAAAACAAACUGUUCAAGCCCUCACAGGAGGUAGAGGAAGAUCUUUAGGUGACCUUACCCUCAUUUCAUCAUCAGACACAAACCUAGUCCCCAAACAUGCACACACACUCAAAUGGGAAACAAAACAAAACAAAACUAGUGUGCGCCCGCACAGGCACACACAGGAUUUGAAAUCACAGCUUGAAGCCGGGAGCAACAGGAAAACGGGAAGAGUAUGGUACCUUCAGCAUCGUAGAAGAUCUACUAUGACUGUAUCAUAGUUCCCAAGUUUCCUGUUCUUGCCACAAGCAGUACAAAACAAAACAAAACAGCAAAAAUGGCAUACCACUGAUACACAGGUCUAAUAUACUGGACAUUUCUGAUAAUUCUCCUAUCAUGAGUCAAGUGUCCACUUGUCUGAUGGACAAAGUGCAGUGCCUGCAUAGUCUUAACUCACCCUCAAGGUGAGGCCUGAUUUCAGCACCGGCAUGGGAUGAGAAAAUGCAUGUUAUUUUUAUAACAAAAACUUAUGCUUAAUUAGAUUUCCAUAUGCUCAAGAAUGAAGAAUAGAAUUAAUGUGGGGCCAAAAGAAUUUCUGCAUCAUAAGACAACACAGGGUUCAAGAAGG
rnacentral:lncRNA from 1 species